GAGGAAUAUUGGUCAAUGGAUGCAAAUCUGAACCAGCCAGGUAGCGUGCAGGAUGACGGCCCUAUGGGUUGUAAACUGCUUUUAUGUGAGAAUAAAGUUAGGUAUGUAUACUUAUUUGCAUGUAUCACAUGAAUAAGGACCGGCUAAUUCCGUGCCAGCAGCCGCGGUAAUACGGAAGGUCCAGGCGUUAUCCGGAUUUAUUGGGUUUAAAGGGUGCGUAGGCCGUUUGAUAAGCGUGCUGUGAAAUAUAGUGGCUCAACCUCUAUCGUGCAGCGCGAACUGUUGAACUUGAGUGCGUAGUAGGUAGGCGGAAUUCGUGGUGUAGCGGUGAAAUGCUUAGAUAUCACGAAGAACUCCGAUUGCGAAGGCAGCUUACCGUAACGUUACUGACGCUUAAGCACGAAGGUGCGGGUAUCGAACAGGAUUAGAUACCCUGGUAGUCCGCACAGUAAACGAUGGAUGCUCGCUGUUGGCCUUUUGUGGUCAGUGGCUUAGCGAAAGCGUUAAGCAUCCCACCUGGGGAGUACGCCGGCAACGGAG
rnacentral:rRNA from 1 species